GAUGAACGCUGGCGGCGUGCCUAAUACAUGCAAGUCGAGCGAACAGAUGAGGAGCUUGCUCCCCUGACGUUAGCGGCGGACGGGUGAGUAACACGUGGAUAACCUACCUAUAAGACUGGGAUAACUUCGGGAAACCGGAGCUAAUACCGGAUAAUAUAUUGAACCGCAUGGUUCAAUAGUGAAAGACGGUUUUGCUGUCACUUAUAGAUGGAUCCGCGCCGCAUUAGCUAGUUGGUAAGGUAACGGCUUACCAAGGCGACGAUGCGUAGCCGACCUGAGAGGGAGAUCGGCCACACUGGAACUGAGACACGGUCCAGACUCCUACGGGAGGCAGCAGUAGGGAAUCUUCCGCAAUGGGCGAAAGCCUGACGGAGCAACGCCGCGUGAGUGAUGAAGGUCUUCGGAUCGGAAAACUCUGUUAUUAGGGAAGAACAAAUGUGUAAGUAACUAUGCACGUCUUGACGGUACCUAAUCAGAAAGCCACGGCUAACUACGUG
rnacentral:rRNA from 1 species